rnacentral:rRNA from 1 species
UACGGAGGGUGCGAGCGUUAAUCGGAAUUACUGGGCGUAAAGCGUGCGUAGGCGGCGUGUUAAGUCAGAUGUGAAAGCCCUGGGCUUAACCUGGGAACUGCAUUUGAUACUGGCAGGCUAGAGUUUACUAGAGGGGAGUGGAAUUUCCGGUGUAGCGGUGAAAUGCGUAGAGAUCGGAAGGAACACCAGUGGCGAAGGCGACUCCCUGGAGUAAAACUGACGCUGAGGUACGAAAGCGUGGGUAGCAAACAGG